UCGAGAAUUUUUCACAAUGGGUGCAAGCCUGAUGGAGCGACGCCGCGUGGGGGAUGAAUGGCUUCGGCCCGUAAACCCCUGUCAUUUGCGAUCAACCGUUAUUAUUUAAAAGAUGAUAACCUGAUAGUAGCGAAAGAGGAAGGGACGGCUAACUCUGUGCCAGCAGCCGCGGUAAUACAGAGGUCCCAAGCGUUGUUCGGAUUUACUGGGCGUAAAGGGUGCGUAGGUGGCGGUGUAAGUCGGAUGUGAAAUCUCCGAGCUCAACUCGGAAACUGCAUUGGAAACUACAUUGCUCGAGGGUUGGAGGGGGGACUGGAAUACUUGGUGUAGCAGUGAAAUGCGCAGAUAUCAAGUGGAACACCAGUGGCGAAGGCGAGUCCCUGGACAACUCCUGACACUGAGGCACGAAAGCUAGGGGAGCAAACAG
rnacentral:rRNA from 1 species